rnacentral:rRNA from 1 species
CCUACGGGAGGCAGCAGUAGGGAAUAUUGCUCAAUGGGGGAAACCCUGAAGCAGCAACGCCGCGUGGAGGAUGAAGGUUUUCGGAUUGUAAACUCCUUUUGUUAGAGAAGAUAAUGACGGUAUCUAACGAAUAAGCACCGGCUAACUCCGUGCCAGCAGCCGCGGUAAUACGGAGGGUGCAAGCGUUACUCGGAAUCAUUGGGCGUAAAGGGGGCGCAGGCGGGACAGCAAGUCAGCCGUGAAAUUUUAGGGCUUAACCAUAUCAAUGCCUUUGAAACUGUUUUUCUUGAGUAAGGGAGAGGUAGGCGGAAUGUUUGGUGUAGGGGUAAAAUGCGUAGAUAUCAAGAAGAACACCGAUUGCGAAGGCAGCAUACCAGAGCUCAACUGACGCUCAUGCGCGAAAGUGUGGGUAUCGAACAGGAUUAGAUACCCUAGUAGUC